GCCACCGUAGCUCAGUUGGUAGAGCAGCUCAUUCGUAAUGAGCGGGUCGGAGGUUCAAGUCCUCUCGGUGGCU
rnacentral:tRNA from 1 species